rnacentral:rRNA from 1 species
CACGUAGGGCGCGAGCGUUGUCCGGAAUUAUUGGGCGUAAAGGGCUCGUAGGCGGUUUGUUGCGUCGAAAGUGAGAAUCCGGGGCUUAACUCCGGACUUGCUUUCGAUACGGGCAGACUAGAGGUAGGCAGGGGAGAGUGGAAUUCCUGGUGUAGCGGUGGAAUGCGCAGAUAUCAGGAGGAACACCGGUGGCGAAGGCGGCUCUCUGGGCCUUACCUGACGCUGAGGAGCGAAAGCGUGGGGAGCGAACAGG